CACGCGCACGUACGCGCCAGGAGCGCGGCGGCGGCGGAGUGACGACACUCGCCGGCGCCGCGCUCCUGGCGUGCCCCGCGGGCCGCGGGUGCUAGGACAUCGGCGUGGCAGGGCUUCGCCGGUGGAGCGGCGGGGUCCCCGGGGUCCCCGGGGUCCCCCGAGGAUGCGGCGGGAACGACAAGGGGGUGAACGCCAGCGUUCGCGGAGCCUGCCGGAGCGACGCCGGGCUGAGCGCUCUCGGGAGGCCCUUUCAGUCUGGGGUGACGUCAAUAAGAGGCGCAGUUUGUGGAGUCGCGGAAGUCAGAGCGCCGAUGUCGGGACGUCACUGUGGAGCCCCACUGGGAGGGCGGCGGGUCCCACCUGGCGCCCACCUCUCCCGACCCUCAGCGCGGCGGACGGGCGGCCCCGGGAGGGCUGCGGAGCCCCGAAGUCCGGGCGCAGCUUCCCGUCCCCUUCUCUCGCGGGCCGCGUUCUGACCCUGAGUUCUGUCCCGGGUGCAGGUGUUUACGGUCGACCAGGACCAGAGCCGUCGCGCGAAGCUGGGCGACCUCCUCCUUGUGCACCUGGGAACUACGAAAAGGCCUUGCAGGGCUUUCUAGAAGGUCAGCCGCAAACCCCGGUGACCAGCCCGACCUCUGCCCUCCCGGUCAUCCCGGGUGUCUGCCGCCGGACUUGUCCGAUGCUUGGCCCUCCUGGCCGGGACUCCCACAGGAUUUUGUUCCCGCCCAAGAAGAUGUUUCCCUUGUCGGGAAGUUGCCUAGGGCAGCUCCCGUGUGCGAGCAGCCCCCCUGGGACUGCUUCCUAAGGUGGUAGGUGGAGAGCUUACUGUUGGAUGUGGGCGUCCGGUUGGGGGCCCUGAAUGCCACCGUUCUCCUCCGGAGUGGGGUGCAGUUCGUUCUCAGGGCCCCUCCGACGUCAGUCGGGUGCUGGCUGGGAUCAGAGCUCGUGUGCACACAACCAUGCAUAGGCUGUGUCACAGAGCCGGCCCUCCACUUUCUAACGGGGUGGGGGUACCUAGAGGAACAGGAGGCUGCCCCGUCGGGGGCCCCUGGGAGCCGGCAUGCCUUCCCCCGUGGCCCACCCCACCUGCCCUCUCCCCAAGGGCCUUUCCUUACUUCACUCCUGGUAAGCCUCAAGCCGAAGGGACUCUUGGUAUGAUCCCAGGUUUUUUUCCUUAUCUUUUGGCUCCAAGAACUGCUCACCACCAGCUCUGAGGAUGAAUAACUAUUGGCUGCUCUGGAUGAAUGCUGGGGGUCUGGGCUCUCAGGAGCAGGGGCUGCUGUCAGAGGGGAGGAGAGAACCUCAGUUCUCUCUGAGCAUGAUGCUGGCAAAGGACAAGGAGAGUGAUGAUUCUCCUGGUAGUGGUUUUAUUUUCAUUUGGAAGGAUGUCCUAGUUGUUAGCUCUAGGUUUUUUUUCCCAUUUAAGUCAAGUUUACUGCUGUGUAAUUUACAUAAAGACUCUAAGAGCAUUUCUGUGAGUUUGGACAGAUGUCUUCACCCAUGAACCCCGGUUACAAGAUGGAGAACUUUCCUGUCACUUCAGAAACUCCUUCUUGCCCCUUUGUGGUCAGUGCCCACCCCCUGCUCAGCUCCCAGGCAACACUCAUCUGUUUUCUGUGCCUGCGCAUUAGUUGAGUCCUAGAGUUUUACAUGAACAGAAUCAUUCAAUCUUUUGCGUCUGGCUUCUUGGCACGGUGUUUGUGGAAUUCAUCAUUGUUGCGUGUAGCAAGGGGCCUUCUCCUUGCUGAGUACAAUUCCAUGCUGUGGACGUACCACAGUUUGUUAACCAUUCACCUGUUGAUGGACAUUAGGGAUGUGCCCAUUUUCGGCUACAAAGAAAAAGUCUGCUAUGAGCAUCGAAUGCAGGUCUCUCAUAGUUAUAUCUUUUUAUUUCUCUUGUGUAAAUACCCAGCAGUAGAAUUGCUGGGUCAUGUGGUAAGUGUAUGUGUAACAUCUUAAGAAGCUGCCAAACAAUUCUCCACUUUAGUUGAGUCAUUCACACUGUUGCCAGCAACUUUUGAGAGUUCUAGUUGCUUUAAAACCAACACUUGGUAAUUUCUGUCCUUUCAAAUGUAUUCCUUGUAGUAGGUAUAUAGUGAUGUCCCAGUGUAGUUUUAAUCUGCGUUUUCCUGAUUCCUAAUGAUGUUGAGCAUUUCUAUGUGCUUAGUGGUCAUUCGUCUAUUUUAUGAGGUUUCUUUCCAAAUCUUGUGCCCAUUUUAAAAAUUGGGUUGUAUGCUCUCGUCUUCCUAGAUUGUGAGAGUUCAGGGUAUAUUUUGCAUAUGAGUACUUUGUUAGACAUAUGUAUCGUGAAUAUUUCCUCCCAAUGUAUUCCUUGUCUUUUGUAUUCUUAAGGAUGUCUUUCAAAGGGCAAAAGUGUAGAAUGUUUAUGAUAUCCAGUUUAAUCACAUCGUAACAAUGAGUGAUUUUUGUGUUCUCCCUCCAUUUCUGUUAGUUUUUGCUUUAUGUGUUUUGAAGCUCCGUUGUUAGGUGCGUCAUUGGGUCUGUUACGUCUUCUUGAUGAACUGACCCCUUUGUGGUUGUGAGGCGUCCUUUGUCCCUGCUGAUAGUCCUUGUUCUGAAGUCUGCUCUGUUGCACGGUAACGUAACUACUUCAACUUUAGUUUUGAUUCUUUUGAUGUUUCCCUGGCAUGUCCUUUUCUGCUCUUUUACUUUUAGCGUCUGUGUCUUUAUGUGUAAGAUGUGUUUCUUGUAGACAGUUUAGAGCGAGUUCUUCCUUUUUCUUCUUUGUUUGUUGACAAAGAUUCACCCUGAGCUUACGUCUGUUGCCACUCUUCCUCUUUUUUGCUUGAGGAAGAGUUGCCCUGAGCUGACAUCUGUGCCCCUCUUCCUCUGUUUUGUGCGUGGGGUGCUGCCACAGCAUGGCUGACGAGUGGUGUAGGUCUGCGCCCGGGAACUGAACCUGGGCAGCUGAAGCAGAGCACGCCAAACUUGGCCGCUAGGCCGCUGGGGCUGCCCAGUUCUUCCUUUUUUCAUUCUGGUUGAUGGUCUCUGCCAUUUAAUUCAAGUAUUACGUCAUUUAAAUGUAAUGCAGUUAUCAAUGUGGUUUUCUAUUUGUCCCAUCAGUUCUUUGUUCUUUUUCCUGUUUUUUCUGCCUUCUUUUUCUCAUUCUUAUUUUUGUAUUUUUAAGGAUUUAAAGAUAUCUUCUUUAUUGGCCUCUCAGCUUGGCCUUUUUUGUUUUGUUUCGUGGUUUUCCUGUGGUUGUCAGUGUGCAGCUUCACCUAAAGACAGUCUGCUGUCAAAUUGUAUUGUGCCCCUUCCCGUUGGUUGUGACAGCUUUAAACAGUACAGUUCUGUCUCUGCCCUCCUGCUCCUUUUUCUCUUUUCCCGCAUUUCACUUGUGCGUGUGCCGUGGACUCCGUCACGCCUCGUCUCUGCCCUUCUGCUCCUUUUUCUCUUUUCCCGCGUUUUACUUGUCCGUGUGUCGUGGACUCCGUCACGCCUCAUCGCUUUUACUUUAAACAGUCAAUUAUCUUUUAAAUAAGUUAAAAAUGAGCAGGGAGUUAUUUUAUAUGUCUACAUGUAUUUACCUGCUCUUUCGGCUUCUUUGUUUGCAUCCUGGCUCCUAGCUGGUGUUCGUUUUCUUAGCCUCGGUAACUUCCUUUGGUGUUUCUUGUUUCACAGGUCUCCUGGUGGUGAAUUCUGUUGACCAUUGCUUGUAUGUCAGUGUUUUUAAUUUGCCCUCUUUUCUUGGAAGAUACGGAGUUCUAGGUUGGUGGGUGCUUUUUCUUCCAGCAUGAUAAAGCAUGUUGUUUCAUUGUCCUCCGGCUUGUGUUGUUUCUGGUGAGAAAUUAGCGGUUAUUCCUGUCUUUCUUUGUAGCAUGUCUCUUUGGCUGCUUUGAGAAUUUUCUAAAGUCCUUGGUUUUCAGCAGUCAGCUGAUGAUGUACUGUGGUGCGGCUUCCCCUGCCUGAGGCUUAUUGAACUUAUUCAAUUUGUGAGUUUCAUCAGAUUUGAAAAUGUGGCAGCCACAAUUUCUGCAAACGUUUCUGUCUGUCUCUUCUUUUUGGGACGCCAGUCAUGCGUAUAUGAGCAGCCUGAUGCUGUCUCAGUGUCAGUGAGGCGCUGCUUAUUUUCAACGUGCUUGGGUUCGAAUACUUUCUAACACCAUGUACUGAAGUUCACAGAUCUUUUUCUGCAGUUUCCAAACUGCUGUUAAGCUCAUCCUGUGAAGUUUUCAUUUCAGAUGUUAUUUUUUUUCCUCCAGAAGUUCCAUUGUUUUGUAUUCUUUUUUUCCUAUACCCUGGAGAAACGCCUACAGUAAAUAGAGAUAUUCCUUGUAUCUUGUUACAGCUGCAUGUUUCUCCAUUUGUGGAUGUACAACAGUCUGUUCAGCCAUCUCCAUGUGGUAGACAUUUGGGUGGCUUCCAGCCUUUAGUGAUUGAAACCAGGGCUCUGGUGAACAAACUGGAACACACGGUUUCUCGUGUUAUUUUGUCUGUGUGUCUUUGAGAUGGGUGCUUAGACGUGCUUUGUUGAAUCAAAUGAUAAAGGCACAUUCCUGCCUUAGGUGUUGUCUGGCGUGUAUUCCUAUCAACAGAGUGUGAGAAUGCCUGUCCCCUGUCACUCUGCCGUCAGAGCACAGUGCCAAGCCUGUGGAGCUGUGUCAGUCUGAUGGGUGAGAUGUGGUAGCUUGCUGUGGUUUUCAUCCUUAUUUCUCUGACUGUGGAAAAUACCCGGCCUCGUGUGGAGCAGGAGCUGUGGUCCUGUGUGUCAUUCUGUGCUGCACAUGGGGUAUCUUAUGAGCUCAAGGAAUAACCACCACAAUCCAUUCAUCUCACUGCUUCCAAUGUGAGCUCUGCAGGAUUUGUUCAGUAAAAAUAAAAUCCUAUUAAGUGAAUCUGGGUUUGGGAAACUGUGAAAAGUGCAGAUUAUGCGCCACCUAGGUGCAAAUAUGGGAAAUAAUGAGAGCAGUUCCCAGAGGCAGCUAGGGGUGGGCGCCCAACAUCUGCAUCUCCUCUGGUGUCAGGUCGGCCUUGUGUUUCAGCUGUUGUCACUGAAGAGCAAAGGAGGCCCUGACUGGUCAGUCCUGGACCCUGGACUCCGUUUUCAGAUGAGAUGUGUAACCUCUCCUAGUGUUAUCUUUUGUGAAACAGGGUAACGUGCCUGUUCGUGGAGUGGACAGGAAGAGUGCGUGACUAGAAAGCCCCGGCCCAGUGCUGGCCACGGAGGAGCAGCCGUGUUAGCCACCACGUGGUCAUUUCUUAGAGCGGCAGGGCGGCUGGAGGCAAAGAAUCAGGGAGGCCUGGCACUGGGCUCUGUGCAUUUCCCGUGACCAACUCCCACAGACAGGACGGCUUAAAUGUCAGGAGUUUAUUCUCUCUGUCUGGAGGCUGGAAGUCUGAGAUGCGGGUGUGGGUAGGGCUGGUUCCUGCUGAGGCCUCUCCCCCGGCAUAGAUGGCCGUCUCCCUGUGUCCUCACACGGUCGUCGCUCUGUGUGUCUGUGUCCUGAUCUCAGGAGGACACCAGUCCUGUUGGGUUAGGUCCCACCCUAACGACCUCGCUUAGCAUGAAUUACCCCCUUGCAGACCUCGUCUCCGCACAGUCGCAUUCUGAGGUGCUGGGGUCAGGACCUCCUUGCAGACCUCGUCUCCGCACAGUCGCAUUCUGAGGUGCUGGGGUCAGGACGUCCUUGCAGACCUCGUCUCCGCACAGUCGCAUUCUGAGGUGCUGGGGUCAGGACGUCCUUGCAGACCUCGUCUCCGCACAGUCGCAUUCUGAGGUGCUGGGGUCAGGACGUCCUUGCAGACCUCGUCUCCGCACAGUCGCAUUCUGAGGUGCUGGGGUCAGGACGUCCUUGCAGACCUCGUCUCCGCACAGUCGCAUUCUGAGGUGCUGGGGUCAGGACGUCCUUGCAGACCUCGUCUCCGCACAGUCGCAUUCUGAGGUGCUGGGGUCAGGACGUCCUUGCAGACCUCGUCUCCGCACAGUCGCAUUCUGAGGUGCUGGGGUCAGGACGUCCUUGCAGACCUCGUCUCCGCACAGUCGCAUUCUGAGGUGCUGGGGUCAGGACCUCCUUGCAGACCUCGUCUCCGCACAGUCGCAUUCUGAGGUGCUGGGGUCAGGACGUCCUUGCAGACCUCGUCUCCGCACAGUCGCAUUCUGAGGUGCUGGGGUCAGGACGUCCUUGCAGACCUCGUCUCCGCACAGUCGCAUUCUGAGGUGCUGGGGUCAGGACGUCCUUGCAGACCUCGUCUCCGCACAGUCGCAUUCUGAGGUGCUGGGGUCAGGACGUCCUUGCAGACCUCGUCUCCGCACAGUCGCAUUCUGAGGUGCUGGGGUCAGGACGUCCUUGCAGACCUCGUCUCCGCACAGUCGCAUUCUGAGGUGCUGGGGUCAGGACGUCCUUGCAGACCUCGUCUCCGCACAGUCGCAUUCUGAGGUGCUGGGGUCAGGACCUCCUUGCAGACCUCGUCUCCGCACAGUCGCAUUCUGAGGCGCUGGGGUCAGGACGUCCUUGCAGACCUCGUCUCCGCACAGUCGCAUUCUGAGGCGCUGGGGUCAGGACGUCCUUGCAGACCUCGUCUCCGCACAGUCGCAUUCUGAGGUGCUGGGGUCAGGACGUCCUUGCAGACCUCGUCUCCGCACAGUCGCAUUCUGAGGCGCUGGGGUCAGGACGUCCUUGCAGACCUCGUCUCCGCACAGUCGCAUUCUGAGGCGCUGGGGUCGGGACGUCCUUGCAGACCUCGUCUCCGCACAGUCGCAUUCUGAGGUGCUGGGGUCGGGACGUCCUUGCAGACCUCGUCUCCGCACAGUCGCAUUCUGAGGCGCUGGGGUCGGGACGUCCUUGCAGACCUCGUCUCCGCACAGUCGCAUUCUGAGGCGCUGGGGUCGGGACGUCCUUGCAGACCUCGUCUCCGCACAGUCGCAUUCUGAGGUGCUGGGGUCGGGACGUCCUUGCAGACCUCGUCUCCGCACAGUCGCAUUCUGAGGCGCUGGGGUCAGGACGUCCUUGCAGACCUCGUCUCCGCACAGUCGCAUUCUGAGGCGCUGGGGUCGGGACGUCCUUGCAGACCUCGUCUCCGCACAGUCGCAUUCUGAGGCGCUGGGGUCGGGACGUCCUUGCAGACCUCGUCUCCGCACAGUCGCGUUCUGAGGCGCUGGGGUCAGGACGUCCUUGCAGACCUCGUCUCCGCACAGUCGCAUUCUGAGGCGCUGGGGUCGGGACGUCCUUGCAGACCUCGUCUCCGCACAGUCGCAUUCUGAGGCGCUGGGGUCGGGACGUCCUUGCAGACCUCGUCUCCGCACAGUCGCAUUCUGAGGCGCUGGGGUCAGGACGUCCUUGCAGACCUCGUCUCCGCACAGUCGCGUUCUGAGGCGCUGGGGUCAGGACGUCAGUGUGCGAGUCGGGAGGGAAGCGGUUGGCCCCCUAGCAACCCCCGCCUCCACUGCGGAUCCUCCCGAGCGUCCCCGUGACCUUUGUUGCUCUGGGGUCAGAGGAGAGGGAGAGGAGGAGCAUGCGGUCAGGGAAGGAGGGAGGUGUGGACAGAGCCGGGGUGUCGGGUGGCACUCAGGCUCCAGAAGUUGGUGCUCCUCUGCCUCUCUGACUGCCAGCUCUGCACCUGGGGGGACGGUGCCUGUGCGUGCCGUCCUGUCUGAACCGGGGAGCUGGUGCUGGAGUGCUGGGUGCUGGGAGAGGUCGUGUCAUGAGGGUCUCGGGAGGUGGGCGCUCAGGGAUGGUGCAGCUGUGGCCUCGGCAGGUGUUGGGGACGGGCCCAUCACUUUUGCUGCCCUCAGCGAGGUGCGGACAGUGCAGCAGGGCCUCCCCUCAUUGAUGGCCCAGUUUCCCAGGAGGAGAAUCGGUGAGGUGACAAGCUUCAGCCUCAGAACACACAGGCUCCGUUAUUAUCCUGCACAACGCCAGGCGUGCCAUCCCACACAGCUUUUAGUGACUCACUGUCAGUAUUGGAGUUUGCAGUUUCCUCAGGAAACCUGGUUUUGAACAAGUAAUAGAUUCUCUCCUCUGGAGCACAUGAGGGGCCACACUACAAGCUGAUGGAAAUAAUGCUUUUCGUGCAGGAGAAGUCGACUCUGAGUGGCGCAUGUAUUACUUUGUCCAGCUGCCCUUGUGCCCAGGCCCCACCCUGGGCUCGGAUUGUUGGUAUAAGUGGCCCCUCGACCGAGGGCAGGAAUGAAAGCUCUGGAUCUACCCCCUUGAAACCCAGGUGCCAGGAUGUGCAGCCUCCCCGGAGCAAGGACAUGCUUGCAGCUGAGGGCCCGGGCCGCUGGGCACCUGUGGGCCCCUCAGCCUCUGCCGCAGGUGCGCGGGCAGCCGGGGCCGCGUCACAGAGAGCCCCCUCCAACCAGAGCUACAGCCCCAGGGCGCCUGACAAGGUCAAGAUUUAAAAGAAUAAAACGCCAUCUGUCCUGAAACCUAAAUGCCUAUUAAUUCAAUGCAAUGCCCACAACCCACCCCAGGUUGGAGCAAUUUCCGGAUGAGGAAACUGAGGCUACAAGUGUCUGGGGCUGGAGGCUGGGCUUCCAACCAACGCCUGAUCUGCCCACGUGGCCCGCAUGGCCUCAGGGCCCUUGGCUCCCCCGCCGGUGUGUAAAGGGCCAGAUGGUGGGACAGGGGAGGUGUGUAAGGAAGGACGCAGGGGAAGGCUUAUUUGGGGGAUUGUUGGCGCACUGGGGCUUCCCCCUCCCAGAGUCAGGAGAGCAGGGCUGUGGGCCCCCGGGGCUCUUUGUGUGCCCACUAUCCUGUGGAGGGCAUGAGAGGAGCCACACGCCCCCCUCCCUGGAGCAGCUGGGGUCCCAGUGUGCAGGAGGCCCCAACAGCGUGCCUCAGGUCCUGUCGGCCACAGGGGCUGGGCCGGACCCCUGUGUCACAAAGGGCCAAGGGAGCAGCAAGGGUGGUCAGCAGCCCUCCCACACCCUGCAAACCUAGGUCCGGUCAGUGGAAAGAAGUGGACCACAGGUGUGACCACGUGGAGCUGUGAGCAGCCAUGCGCAUCGAACAGUGAUGGCACCCACAAUUAUGAAAUCACAGAAAUAAGGACGGGUGACGACUUGGGUGUGGUGAUGGGCAGAACCACAGGAACCAUCUGGUGGGAGAUCAGUCACUGCUUCUCCCAGGAUGUGACAUCCAGGACCCGUGGAUGAGGAUGCUGUGGGAGAGGGGUUUGAGCAGAGGCAGCAGCGUGGGCAGUGAGGUGAGGGCCCGGGGGCCAGGGCUCAGCCAGGCAGAUCUGCAUACCAUCCCUGGCCCAGCCUUGUGGGUCCCGGGAGGCUGUGGGGUUUACACUCAGAAGGCUUUUCUUCCACGUUGACUUUAUCCAGGUGAACGUUUGUAUCUUAUCACAGAGUGGAUUCAGCUCUCGGCCUGCAGAAGUGUACUUUGAGAUUCUGAUGUCUCUAACUGCAAGAUGGACGGCUUGUUCCAAUUCUUUCUGAGUUCACAACAUGGGGGCAGGAAUACAAACCACGAUUCCACCUUUGCAACAGCUAGAACUACAACAGGAGACAAUCUCUCAUGAGACUCAGUUUAAAUAAACUGCCUUGAUACGACAUCAUUCCCAGGAGCAUAGCUCCUGUCACACUUCAUCCAAGCUGGGGCAUAAUCGCUCACCUGAUGGCAGUAAAGCUGAUAGAGGGAAAACGGGAGCACCCUCGGGGAGGGCGCCUUUGCCCACAGAAGGGGCUCAUCUGUGGGUGACUCUGUCCUCAGCUGUGUGGGCAGAGGGAGGCAUCCCGCGCUGGCGGAGGGACCCUUCUUGAGUUGGCCUUUCCUGCUGUGCCUCCAGGCACCUUCCAGGCCGUCAACCGCCGUCUGUUUCCUGAUGGGCUCCCGAGGCCGUUGUGUUGCAGCUGCUCCGAGCUGAUGCGGCUUCCAGGGAUGAACCUUCUGACACAGCCACCAGGCCGACUGGAGCUCAGUGUUUAGAUUUCUCUUCCUUGAUGUCUGCUCUCAAAGUCUCUGCUUUCAUCCUGAGCAGAACACUGAGGGUUUCCAGUUUCCACAUCUCUGCUAAAUUUGUUCUCGAGUUUCCUUCCAUUAAAGCUGACUCGAGGCCCCACGUCCUUUGUGUGUGAGGCUGAGUGUCUCAGAAUUUGCUGUCGUUCCUCCAGAAGCGCAGCAGCUCUGCGGCCGUCCUUGGUCCCUAGUUGAAUUAACUGAAAAUCCGACCAGGACUGGCCACACCGCCGUCUCCGCGGGGCUCUGGUACAUCUUCUUCAAGACCAGCAUGAUGCAGAACCUGAGGCUGUCAGCCAACCUGCUUGGCCCCAGAGGCCACAGCUGAGCUGGCCCCAGUGUCUGGGCUCUGCCGGCCUGUGCAGUAAAGGGUUAGCCUUGCCCAAGAAAGGUCUGGCCCUUUGCCCCUAGAAUGCUCUAAGGCCCUGGAAUGUCCUGCCUGAUGACAGUGUCCCUGUUUGCCUGGGGCCUUGGGCCACACCAGGUGGUCUGUGCUCACAAUGUGAUUUAUAUGGGGCCUUGGGCCCCAUGGUGUCAGUCCAACCUUUGGGCAGGCUAGAGACUAAGCUCAGCCGUGCCACAUGACUGCCCAAAACCCUGGACACCACCGUUCGGGCCGGCUUCCCUGACCGUCAGUGCUCUGAGUGUGCUGUCACGGUCGCUGCUGGGAGAAUUAAGUGCUGUCCGGGGCUCCAGGGAAGCGUGCCUGGUCUCCCCUGGGCCUGCCCGUGCAUCUCUUCCCUCUGCCGAUUGUUGUGUGUGCCUUUGGCUAGUGAGCUGUAACCGUGAGUGUAUCAGCUUUGCUGAGCUCUGAGCCCUUCUAGUGAGUCGCUGAACCCGAGGGUGGUCUUGGGGACCCUGGCACCGCACAGGCAACAGCAGACUGAAGAGCGCUGAUGAGCAUCCACCUGGAGCCACCCCGUGCCUGGUGACAGGCAGACCUCAGGGGGACGUGCAGUGGGAUGGCCCCUCUCACUUCCCUCACACCCUGCCACACAGACAGGGACCAUGUCACAUGGCCCCAGGGAGAGGGUGGGCUGCAGGGGGCCGAGACAGUGGCAGACCGUGGCAGACAAUGGAGCCACAGACAUCAGACUCCCCACAACUCGGUGCACCUGUGGAGAGAGGUGGCCUCUGGUGCUGAGAACGACUGGUGGGGCCCUCACAGUCCUGCAGGCCACCCUUGAACCAUGGAGGGAAGCACGGCCCUGUCCACCGUUGCAUUCUCCAGGGUUCCUGGUGACAUGGGGUGUGCUGUCACCCUAGGCUGUUGCAUGGUCCCCAAUGUCCACAUCUAAAGGAGGAGGAGACUGGUGAGUCCCAGGGCCUUUGGGGGAGUGGGCUAGGAAGCGGGUGUGGUUAGCGGUGUCAAAUGCAGGUGCCAUGUCAGGUGUAUGGCUGCUGGUGGGAUGCCCCAAAAGAGAGGAGAAGACAAAUGCUGCCGAGCUGUGGGGAUCCACGAAGCAGAGCGCUGAGAGCCUGAGGAGGAGGAUCGCAGAGCCCAGGGUGCUGGGUAGCCUCCAGCGGGAGCAGGGACAGUCAUCUGCUGUGGAAGGAGGGGGCAGAGUGCGGGCUGCAGGCUCAGAGGGCCCCUUCUGGGGACGUCCAUCUUCUCAGCCAGGCGUGUAGGAGAGCAUGAGAUGUUGAUGGGAGUGAGUGGGAGUUACUUACUGGGCACAGGUGGUAGAGUUUUAAAGAGACGAUUGCUGGAGUUUCAGGCAAAUUGAGAGCCUUGACUGUGAGUGUGGGGCAGUGGACAAUUAGGCUUUGCCAGGUGAGCACCAAGGAGGAGCAGGAUGCAGAAGAGUCAGGGAUGCUUGCAGGAAGCGCUCAUGACCCGAACCACAGGGUUCGCAUUGGAGGGGAGGGGGCAUGACACGGUGCUGGAAAUACUACUUGGUGUUGUGAGGAUGCCGACAUGUUGGAUCUCGAGUUGGUUUCCAUGGAAGGUGGUGAGGAACCUUGGCUCUAACAGUGGGAUGAGAGAGGCGAAAGGAAGCUCGGGCCCUGCACAGAGCCGCUUGACCAGUGGGUUUCGCACAGCUGUGGGUCCAGGCAGCCCCAUUACAUCAAACCCACCACUCCUUUUUUGUCAUUUCUUCCCUCCUGUCUUCACCUAUGGUGCCGUGACCCCUCCCCACAGUGGGGCCAGGCUCAGUGCUGCUCUGGACAUUUAGGGCAUGUGACUGGUCGCCUCAAUGAUGGGCGGGCUGUUGGGGUGUGUUGGAGGCUGGAUGCCCUGAAAAGCAAACAAAGGACUACCUCUCCCCCUGUGCACAUUGGGAAAGUCUUGCCAGACACACGGUGAACAGCUUGAACCUAGACUCCAACCUAUUUACAUAUAAACACACAAUUUUUGCAUGAUUUUAACAUACUCUGAUUUUUCUAGAAUUUGCGAUAAGGUAAUUGAGGAUGGCUGGUACUUAGCUUUGUUGAGAACUGGGAAGUGCGCAGCAGCUGGACAGCAUGCCCUCACAUGUCACUGCACUGGCCACUGCCACAGCCCCGAGCUUCUGUGAACGGACCUGCUUCCCACACCACGUCCUGCAGUGAAGGAUUUUGGACGUGUUCAUCAUGUUUGGAGGCCUUGACUCUGCCUGCGUCUGUGUUUGCUCUUUGUGGAGAACAUGAACCACCCAGAUCACAGGAUAUCAGCACCCAACGGAUGAAAGGAGAAAUAAGGAGAUGAAGGUUUUCUUCAUUAGUCCUUCUGAAAAUUCAUCUAUUGGUCUAAAUAUUUGAAAUUUUAUUUUUCAGGCAGGCAGACCAAAGGAAUAGAAUAAAAGUCCAGAAAUAGAAUCAAAUCCAUACAGAGAAUUGGCACAUGGUAAAGGGGAGAAGAUGGGCUUUGAGAAGAGUAUUCUGGGACAAUUGGGUAGCCGUUUACAAAGAGAUAAAAUGGAUUCUUUAUCUCAUCCUCCACACCAGAAUAACCCCCACAGCACCAGGGAACUAAAUAUAAAAAAAAGAAACAUGUAGGUUCCAGAGGAAAACAGUGAAGCCCUGGAUAUCCCAGGAGAGAGAAAAGCCUUUUUACUACAAUCUACAACUCAGAAGAACAGAGAAAAGAUCAUUAAAUUCAACUGUUUAAAAUGAAAUAUAUCCAAUCAAAAUCCCAGCAAGUUAUUCUUGGAUAUUGACAAACUGAUUCUAAAGUUUACAUAGAGAGGCAAAAGACCCAGAAUAGCCAACACAAUAUUGGAGAAGAAGAACAAAGUUGGAGGACUGACACUAUCCAUCUUCAAGACUUACUGUAAAGCCACAGUGAUCAAGACAGUGUCGCAUUGAUGGAAGAACAGACAGAUAAUUGGAACAGAACAGAGAGCCCAGAAAUAGACCGACGUAAAUAUCGUCACCUGAUCGUUGACAAAGGAG